AGAGUUUGAUCCUGGCUCAGGAUGAACGCUAGCGGCAGGCCUAAUACAUGCAAGCCGAACGGCAAGUUUUGAUAGCAAUAUUAAACCUAGAGUGGCGUAAGGGUGCGUAACACGUAUGCAAUCUGCCCUGUACAGGGGAAUAGCUCGGUGAAAACCGGAUUAAUGCCCCGUAAUAUGUUUGGAAGGCAUCUUCUGAUCAUUAAAGUUGAGGCGGUACAGGAUGAGCAUGCGUAUGAUUAGUUAGUUGGCGGGGUAACGGCCCACCAAGACGAUGAUCAUUAGGAAACUGAGAGGUUGAUCCCCCACACUGGCACUGAGAUACGGGCCAGACUCCUACGGGAGGCAGCAGUAGGGAAUAUUGGACAAUGGGUGAGAGCCUGAUCCAGCCAUGCCGCGUGCAGGAAGAAGGCCUUCUGGGUUGUAAACUGCUUUUGCCAGGGGAUAAAAUGUCUGUGCGCAAAUAAUUGAAGGUACCUGGUGAAUAAGCCACGGCUAACUACGUGCCAGCAGCCGCGGUAAUACGUAGGUGGCACAGGCCAGGGGGUAGCGACUGUUUAUCAAAAACACAGGGCUCUGCGAAGCCGCAAGGCGACGUAUAGGGUCUGACGCCUGCCCGGUGCCGGAAGGUUAAAAGGAGUGGUGCAAGCUACGAAUUGAAGCCCCGGUAAACGGCGGCCGUAACGAUAACGGUCCUAAGGUAGCGAAAUUCCUUGUCGGGUAAGUUCCGAUCUGCACGAAUGGCGUAACGACUUCCCCACUGUCUCCAGCAUAGGCUCAGCGAAAUUGAAUUCCCCGUGAAGAUGCGGGGUUCCCGCGGUCAGACGGAAAGACCCUAUGAACCUUUACUGCAGCUUCGCCUUGGCGUUAGCGGCAACAUGUGUAGGAUAGGUGGGAGGCUAUGAAGCCGGGGCGCCAGCUCUGGUGGAGCCAUCCUUGAAAUACCACCCUUGUUGUCGCUGACGUCUAACCGCAGCCCGUUAUCCGGGUUCGGGACAUGGCGUGGCGGGCAGUUUGACUGGGGCGGUCGCCUCCCAAAGUGUAGCGGAGGCGCGCGAUGGUGGGCUCAGAGCGGUCGGAAAUCGCUCGACGAGUGCAAUGGCAUAAGCGUGCUUAACUGCGAGACUGACAAGUCGAGCAGAGACGAAAGUCGGCCAUAGUGAUCCGGUGGUUCUGCGUGGAAGGGCCAUCGCUCAACGAAUAAAAGGUACUCUAGGGAUAACAGGCUGAUUUUGCCCAAGCGUCCACAGCGACGGCAAAGUUUGGCACCUCGAUGUCGGCUCAUCACAUCCUGGGGCUGGAGCAGGUCCCAAGGGUUCGGCUGUUCGCCGAUUAAAGUGGUACGUGAGCUGGGUUCAGAACGUCGUGAGACAGUUUGGUCCCUAUCUGCCGUGGGUGUACGAAGCUUGAGAGGAUCUGUCCCUAGUACGAGAGGACCGGGAUGGACACACCUCUGGUGGACCUGUCGUGGCGCCAGCC
rnacentral:rRNA from 1 species